GUAUAAGUUUUAUAGGGUUCCGCAAUACAAACCGUAUUGGUCAGGUCCGAGAUAAAACGCGCAGUUAACUGCGUUCACGGAAGGAUAAAAGCCUGGGAGAU
rnacentral:sRNA from 2 species